rnacentral:rRNA from 1 species
GCAUAUCAAUAAGCGGAGGAAAAGAAACCAACAGGGAUUGCCCUAGUAACGGCGAGUGAAGCGGCAACAGCUCAAAUUUGAAAUCUGGCUCUCGGGCCCGAGUUGUAAUUUGUAGAGGAUACUUUUGAUGCGGUGCCUUCCGAGUUCCCUGGAACGGGACGCCAUAGAGGGUGAGAGCCCCGUCUGGUUGGAUGCCAAAUCUCUGUAAAGUUCCUUCGACGAGUCGAGUAGUUUGGGAAUGCUGCUCUAAAUGGGAGGUAUAUGUCUUCUAAAGCUAAAUAUUGGCCAGAGACCGAUAGCGCACAAGUAGAGUGAUCGAAAGAUGAAAAGCACUUUGAAAAGAGAGUUAAAAAGUACGUGAAAUUGUUGAAAGGGAAGCGUUUAUGACCAGACUUGGACUUGGUUAAUCAUCUGGGGUUCUCCCCAGUGCACUUUUCCAGUUCAGGCCAGCAUCAGUUUUCGCCGGGGGAUAAAGGCAGCGGGAAUGUGGCUCUCUUCGGGGAGUGUUAUAGCCCGUUGUGUAAUACCCUGGUGGGGACUGAGGUUCGCGCUUCUGCAAGGAUGCUGGCGUAAUGGUCAUCAAC